AACGCACAUUGCGCCCGCUAGUAUUCUGGCGGGCAUGCCUGUUCGAGCGUCAUUUCAACCCUCAAGCCCAGCUUGGUGUUGGGAGCUGUUUUAGUUAACACUCCCCAAAUUGAUUGGCGGUCACGUCGAGCUUCCAUAGCGUAGUAAUAAUACACCUCGUUACUGGUAAUCGUCGCGGCCACGCCGUAAAACCCCAACUUCUGAAUGUUGACCUCGGAUCAGGUAGGAAUACCCGCUGAACUUAA
rnacentral:misc_RNA from 1 species